AGUGAAGCAGAUGAGAAUCAUUGUGAAGCAAGUCGAGAGCAAAGUGAAGUAGACCAGGAUUACUGUGAAAUAGCAAGGGAUCAGUGUGAAGCAGGCUGGGAGCUGAGUGAAUCAAAAGGAAAUCACUGUGCAGCAGGUCAGGAGCAGAGUGAAGCAGGCUGCAAUCAUUGAAAUGAAGGAGGAAAACAUUGCAGAAAGGCCACGAGUUCAUUAGCUAAUCCUGCCAGAUAGAAUCACAGAAACACAGAAUCUUUACAGCGCACAAGGAGGUCAUUCAGCCUAUUAAGUCUGCACUAGCUCUCUGAAAAAGCAUUCAACCUAGUCCCAUUUCCUGAACUUAUCCCUGUAAUUUUUGCACAUUCUCUCUUUUCAGUUCUGUUGAAGGGUCAUGAGGACUCAAAACGUCAACUUUGUUCUUCUCCGCUGAUGCUGCUAGACCUGCUGAAUUUUUCCAGAAAUUAGCAAUUUUUAAAAUCAUGAUGAUAAGGCAUAUUAAAACUGGUAAACGCCUAUCAAGAAGUGACUCAGAGAAUUGUGUGAAUGUUUAUGAACAAAUAACUCAAAGUGCAGCAGAAGAGGAGAAAACAGGCCAGAAGUGCAUGUCAUGUAUGAACUACCUUUGAUAAUGGAUGUACAAUAAUAUCAGCUAUCUGAAUGGACAGCAUUAUGCAUGAUGAAGCUCAGACUCAGCAUGGAGGUUGUGACUGUGGUGCACCAUCUACUAUGUAAGCCUGUAUGUAAAAUCAAUCAAUUGCACUUUGUUAUUAAUGGCACUAUCCUCAAUUUCUACACCACACAAGGCUCUUCAGCACUCAAAGGAGACAUCACAGAAAUCAGCCGCUCAGCCAUGCAUCACACAUACAAUGGUCUCCUUCCCAAACACCCCAGAUGAUGAAUGUGGUCAUCUGCGCCUCGAAGAACGAAUAAUAGAGACUUUAAUUCUAUCAGUAGCAGCAAGAAGAGGCUUCCCCAAGACACAGGAUGUUAUUAACUGUAUAAGCAGAACCUGCUAUGUACCAGUGCCAGAACUAACUAGGAAGGGCUACUAUUGCAUUCGUAUUGUUACUAUCAGGUUAGGGAUUGUUAACAUUUAAAAGAAAAUCCAAACACUUCUUUUUAACCAAUAGAAC